rnacentral:rRNA from 1 species
ACGGAAGGCAGCAGUGGGGAAUAUUGGACAAUGGGGGAAACCCUGAUCCAGCGACGCCGCGUGAGCGAUGAAGUAUUUCGGUAUGUAAAGCUCUAUCAGCAGGGAAGAAAAUGACGGUACCUGACUAAGAAGCCCCGGCUAACUACGUGCCAGCAGCCGCGGUAAUACGUAGGGGGCAAGCGUUAUCCGGAUUUACUGGGUGUAAAGGGAGCGCAGGCGGUAGAUUAAGUCUGAUGUGAAAACCCAAGGCUCAACCAUGGGAUUGCAUUGGAAACUGGUUUACUUGAGUGUCGGAGAGGUAAGCGGAAUUCCUAGUGUAGCGGUGAAAUGCGUAGAUAUUAGGAGGAACACCAGUGGCGAAGGCGGCUUACUGGACGAUAACUGACGCUGAGGCUCGAAAGCGUGGGGAGCAAACAGGAUUAGAUACCCUGGUA